rnacentral:tRNA from 1 species
GUGUAGCUCAGUGGUAGAGUGCUUGCCUAGCACGCAUGAGGCACUGGGUUGAUUCUCAGCAC